rnacentral:rRNA from 1 species
UACGUAGGGGUGCGAGCGUUGUCCCGGAAUUACUGGGCGUAAAGAGCUUGUAGGUGGUUUGUCGCGUUGUUCGUGAAAAUCUCACGGCUUAACUGUGAGCGUGCGGGCGAUACGGGGCAGACUAGAGUACUGCAGGGGGAGACUGGAAUUCCCUGGUGUAGCGGGUGGAAUGCGCAGAUAUCAGGAGGAACACCGGUGGCGAAGGCGGGGUCUCUGGGCAGUAAACUGACGCUGAGAAAGCGAAAAGCGUGGGGGGAGCGAACAGG